UCCUGGGUCCGGGCCCCUCUGGCGUGAUGGCGACAGCCGCACGCGAUGUCGGACUCCUUGG
rfam:Alpha proteobacterium AAP38 AAP38_Contigs_12, whole genome shotgun sequence.